CACGUAGGGUGCGAGCGUUGUCCGGAAUUAUUGGGCGUAAAGAGCUCGUAGGCGGCGUGUUGCGUCGGCCGUGAAAACCUGCAGCUUAACUGCGGGCUUGCGGUCGAUACGGGCAUCACUGGAGUUCGGCAGGGGAGACUGGAAUUCCUGGUGUAGCGGUGAAAUGCGCAGAUAUCAGGAGGAACACCGGUGGCGAAGGCGGGUCUCUGGGCCGAUACUGACGCUGAGGAGCGAAAGCGUGGGGAGCGAACAGG
rnacentral:rRNA from 1 species